rnacentral:rRNA from 1 species
CCUACGGGUGGCAGCAGUGGGGGAUAUUGCACAAUGGGGGGAACCCUGAUGCAGCGACGCCGCGUGGGUGAAGAAGGGCCUCGGCGCGUAAAGCCCUGUCAGCAGGGAAGAAAAUGACGGUACCUGAAGAAGAAGCCCCGGCUAACUACGUGCCAGCAGCCGCGGUAAUACGUAGGGGGCAAGCGUUAGCCGGAUUUACUGGGUGUAAAGGGGGCGCAGCCGGCCUUGCAAGCCAGGAGUGAAAGCCCGGGGCUCAACCCCGGGACUGCUCUUGAAACUGCGGGGCUGGAGGGCAGGAGGGGCAAGCGGACUUCCUGGUGUAGCGGUGAAAUGCGUAGAUAUCAGGAGGAACACCAGUGGCGAAGGCGGCCUGCUGGACUGCAACUGACGUUGAGGCCCGAAAGCGUGGGGAGCAAACAGGAUUAGAUACCCCUGUAGUC